GUCGUAACAAGGUCUCCGUUGGUGAACCAGCGGAGGGAUCAUUGCUGGAACGCGCCCCAGGCGCACCCAGAAACCCUUUGUGAACUUAUACCUUACUGUUGCCUCGGCGCAUGCCGGCCCCCUCGGGGGCCCCCUGGAGACAGGGAGCAGGCACGCCGGCGGCCAAGUUAACUCUUGUUUUUACACUGAAACUCUGAGAAAAAAAACACAAAUGAAUCAAAACUUUCAACAACGGAUCUCUUGGUUCUGGCAUCGAUGAAGAACGCAGCGAAAUGCGAUAAGUAAUGUGAAUUGCAGAAUUCAGUGAAUCAUUGAAUCUUUGAACGCACAUUGCGCCCUCUGGUAUUCCGGAGGGCAUGCCUGUUCGAGCGUCAUUUCAACCCUCAAGCACUGUUUGGUGUUGGGGCACUGCUUCUCUCGCGAGAAGCAGGCCCUGAAAUCUAGUGGCGAGCUCGCCAGGGCCCCGAGCGCAGUAGUUAAACCCUCGCUCUGGAAGGCCCUGGCGGUGCCCUGCCGUUAACCCCCAACUUCGAAAAUUGA
rnacentral:rRNA from 1 species